CACCGGCGCCACAAGUGGCAUCCGUAUUUAUUUGGCCUAAAGCGUCCGUAGCUGGUUUGGUAAAUCUCUUGUGAAAUUGUCAGGCUUAACCUAACAACGUGCAGGAGACACUGCCUUACUUGGAACCGGGAGGAGUCAGAGGUAUUCCUUGGGGAGCGGUAAAAUGCUAUAAUCCUUGGAAGACCACCUGUGGCGAAGGCGUCUGACUAGAACGGAUUCGACAGUGAGGGACGAAAGCUAGGGGAGCGAUCCGGAUUAGAUACCCGAGUAGUCCUGGCUGUAAACUCUGCGAGCUAGGUGUUGCGUAUUCUUAGUGGAUGCGCAGUAUCGUAGCGAAGGCGUUAAGCUCGCCGCCUGGGAAGUAUGGUCGCAAGACUGAAACUUAAAGGAAUUGGCGGGGAAGCACUACAAGGGGUGCGGCGUGCGGUUCAAUUGAAUUCAACGCCGGAAAUCUCACCAGCAGCGACGGCAGGAUGAAAGUCAGGUUGAAGGUCUUACUUAACAAGCCGAGAGGUGGUGCAUGGCCGCCGUCAGCUCGUGCCGUAAGGUGUCCAUUUAAGUAUGGUAACGAGCGAGAUCUGCGCCCACAAUUGCUAACGAGUUCUUUCGAAUGAUCGAGCACAUUGUGGGGACUGCCUUGGAAACAAGGAGGAAGGUGCAGGCCACGGUAGGUCCGUAUGCCCCGAAUCUGCUGGGCUACACGCGCGCAACAAUGGUAGGAACAAUGGGAUACAACUCUGAAAAGAGAAGUUAAUCCUCCAAAUCCUGUCCAAGUUCAGAUCGAGGAUUGUAACUCAUCCUCGUGACGCUGGAAUCCCUAGUAAUCGGAAGUCAACAGCUUCCGGUGAAUAUGUCCCUGCUUCU
rnacentral:rRNA from 1 species